CGUAACGCGUAUGCAAUCUACCUUUUACAGAGGGAUAGCCCAGAGAAAUUUGGAUUAAUACCUCAUAGUAUAAUGACUCGGCAUCGAGAUAUUAUUAAAGUCACAACGGUAAAAGAUGAGCAUGCGUCCCAUUAGCUUGUUGGUAAGGUAACGGCUUACCAAGGCAACGAUGGGUAGGGGUCCUGAGAGGGAGAUCCCCCACACUGGUACUGAGACACGGACCAGACUCCUACGGGAGGCAGCAGUGAGGAAUAUUGGUCAAUGGGCGCAAGCCUGAACCAGCCAUGCCGCGUGCAGGAUGACGGUCCUAUGGAUUGUAAACUGCUUUUGUACAGGAAGAAACAGUUCUACGUGUAGAACCUUGACGGUACUGUAAGAAUAAGGAUCGGCUAACUCCGUGCCAGCAGCCGCGGUAAUACGGAGGAUCCAAGCGUUAUCCGGAAUCAUUGGGUUUAAAGGGUCCGUAGGCGGUUUAGUAAGUCAGUGGUGAAAGCCCAUCGCUCAACGGUGGAACGGCCAUUGAUACUGCUAGACUUGAAUUAUUAGGAAGUAACUAGAAUAUGUAGUGUAGCGGUGAAAUGCUUAGAGAUUACAUGGAAUACCAAUUGCGAAGGCAGGUUACUACUAAUGGAUUGACGCUGAUGGACGAAAGCGUGGGUAGCGAACAGGAUUAGAUACCCUGGUAGUCCACGCCGUANACGAUGGAUACUAGCUGUUCGGAGCAAUCUGAGUGGCUAAGCGAAAGUGAUAAGUAUCCCACCUGGGGAGUACGUU
rnacentral:rRNA from 1 species